rnacentral:rRNA from 1 species
GAUGAACGCUGGCGGCGUGCUUAACACAUGCAAGUCGAACGGAAAGGCCCAAGCUUGCUUGGGUACUCGAGUGGCGAACGGGUGAGUAACACGUGGGUGAUCUGCCCUGCACUUCGGGAUAAGCCUGGGAAACUGGGUCUAAUACCGGAUAGGACGAUGGUUUGGAUGCCAUUGUGGAAAGUUGUUUCGGUGUGGGAUGAGCUCGCGGCCUAUCAGCUUGUUGGUGGGGUAAUGGCCUACCAAGGCGUCGACGGGUAGCCGGCCUGAGAGGGUGUACGGCCACAUUGGGACUGAGAUACGGCCCAGACUCCUACGGGAGGCAGCAGUGGGGAAUAUUGCACAAUGGGCGCAAGCCUGAUGCAGCGACGCCGCGUGGGGGAUGACGGCCUUCGGGUUGUAAACUCCUUUCGCUAGGGACGAAGCGUUUUGUGACGGUACCUGGAGAAGAAGCACCGGCUAACUACGUG